CUUCCUCCGGGGGGCAGCAGUGAGGAAUAUUGGUCAAUGGGCGCGAGCCUGAACCAGCCAAGUCGCGUGCGGGCCGCCGGUCCUCUGGCUUGUCCCCCUCUUUUUUCGGGGCGCCCCCGCCGCCCCGUGUGGCGUUCCGAGAGUCCCCGAAGACAAAGCCUCGGCUCCCUCCGUGCCCGCCGCCGCGGUCCUCCGGCGGCUGCGCGCGUUCUCCGGCUUUCUUGGGUUUCCCG
rnacentral:rRNA from 1 species